rnacentral:rRNA from 1 species
CGUGUAGGCGGCUAGGUAGGUCCGUUGUGAAAACUCGAGGCUCAACCUCGAGACGUCGAUGGAAACCAUCUAGCUAGAGUCCGGAAGAGGAGAGUGGAAUUCCUAGUGUAGCGGUGAAAUGCGCAGAUAUCAGGAAGAACACCCGUGGCGAAGGCGGCUCUCUGGUACGUGACUGACGCUGAGACGCGAAAGCGUGGGAGCAAACA